GGUAGAAUGAAACUUAAUCUUGGGAAGGAUCAUAGCAGCACUGACCUGAGGCCCCAAAAUCCCAGAGGGUGGCUGGAGGACACACAGGGAUUGAUUCUACCCUGAGCAUGCUACCCACUGAGCCCAAGACUGUGCUGAAGUCAUGAAC
rnacentral:lncRNA from 1 species